rnacentral:tRNA from 1 species
UGCAUCGGCCGGGAAUCGAACCCGGGUCGCCCGCGUGGCAGGCGAGAAUUCUCGCCACUGAACAACCGAUGC